rnacentral:rRNA from 1 species
GAUGAACGCUAGCGGCAGGCCUAACACAUGCAAGUCGAGGGGCAGCACAGAAACAGCAAUGUUUUGGUGGCGACCGGCGGACGGGUGCGUAACGCGUAUGCAACCUACCUUUAACAGGGGGAUAACGGAGAGAAAUUUCCACUAAUACCCCAUAACAUCGAUCAAGGCAUCUUGAUUGGUUGAAAACUCCGGUGGUUAAAGAUGGGCAUGCGUUGUAUUAGGUAGUUGGGGAGGUAAUGGCUCACCAAGCCUACGAUACAUAGGGGGACGGAGAGGUUAGCCGCCCACACUGGUACGGAGAAACGGACCAGACUCCUACGGGAGGCAGCAGUGAGGAAUAUUGGUCAAUGGGGGCAACCCUGAACCAGCCAUGCCGCGUGCAGGAAGACGGCUCUAUGAGUUGUAAACUGCUUUUAAACAGGGAUAAAGCACAGUAUGUAUACUGUGUUGAAGGUACUGUAAGAAUAAGGAUCGGCUAACUCCGUGCCAGCCGCCGCCGUAA